GGAGAGGUGGCAGAGCGGUUGAAUGCGGCAGACUCGAAAUCUGUUUUAGGGCGACCUAACGGGGGUUCGAAUCCCCCCCUCUCCG
rnacentral:tRNA from 1 species